GCCUAACACAUGCAAGUCGAGCGGAUGAAGGGAGCUUGCUCCUGGAUUCAGCGGCGGACGGGUGAGUAAUGCCUAGGAAUCUGCCUGGUAGUGGGGGAUAACGUCCGGAAACGGGCGCUAAUACCGCAUACGUCCUGAGGGAGAAAGUGGGGGAUCUUCGGACCUCACGCUAUCAGAUGAGCCUAGGUCGGAUUAGCUAGUUGGUGGGGUAAAGGCCUACCAAGGCGACGAUCCGUAACUGGUCUGAGAGGAUGAUCAGUCACACUGGAACUGAGACACGGUCCAGACUCCUACGGGAGGCAGCAGUGGGGAAUAUUGGACAAUGGGCGAAAGCCUGAUCCAGCCAUGCCGCGUGUGUGAAGAAGGUCUUCGGAUUGUAAAGCACUUUAAGUUGGGAGGAAGGGCAGUAAGUUAAUACCUUGCUGUUUUGACGUUACCAACAGAAUAAGCACCGGCUAACUUCGUGCCAGCAGCCGCGGUAAUACGAAGGGUGCAAGCGUUAAUCGGAAUUACUGGGCGUAAAGCGCGCGUAGGUGGUUCAGCAAGUUGGAUGUGAAAUCCCCGGGCUCAACCUGGGAACUGCAUCCAAAACUACUGAGCUAGAGUACGGUAGAGGGUGGUGGAAUUUCCUGUGUAGCGGUGAAAUGCGUAGAUAUAGGAAGGAACACCAGUGGCGAAGGCGACCACCUGGACUGAUACUGACACUGAGGUGCGAAAGCGUGGGGAG
rnacentral:rRNA from 1 species